ensembl:lncRNA
AGAAAAAGUAUUUGUACAUUUUUCUGUAAAAAAAAUAAUAAUAAUAAAAACUGUAAAUGUACCUUGCUGUUAAUUAGCAUAAGUAAAUACACAUAUUGUGAGAUAUGCAGCUUUGCAUUAUCCUCGUAUGAAAUCUGUGAAGUGUUGUAGUUUAUUAGACUUUAUGAGGUUCUUUAAGAGUCCCUAGUGUUUGCUGGGGACCCUUUCUGCUGCGUAUCCUAGGCAACCACGUACCCAUGAACUCCCCCCUUAAAACUGGCAACUUUAAUUUAAACUCAUAUGCUUUAGAUUCCAAAGAGCUACGUUUAAUAUUUCAUUCUCAUGCAGAAAUGAACUUUCUCAUUUUAGAACAAUGAUGGAAAAUGACAGAUCUGGAAAAAACACAGAUGAGCUGCUCUCUGUAGGUCAGAAACCAUCGAAAUUUCCCUUUCAUGCUUAUCCUGUAUCUUCUGUAGUACAAACUGCUGUAUAUCUCUUUUCUUCUCAGAUGUGGAUGAGGAGGUUGAUGUUUACGGGGUUAUACCUCUGGCUUUGUCCCGUGAUCACUGUGAUGUACUACUGGACGUAAUAGACACACAACUGAGUCAUCUACAGGUCAAGCACUUAGAGUCUGAUGAAAUAUUGAUAAGCAUGGCGUAUUAUUUUUGUCAUAGCCAGAGUAAAAUUUUGUCCCGAUUUUGUAUUCCACCAAUAGAUCCACAGCCAAAGCAAAAUGCAUGGAGCAAACUCCACGAGAUAUGAAUUUCCUUUCUUGGGUAAGCAUGAACCAUUUUUCUGCAAUAAUAAUCAUAUUGAAUUUUUAGUAGAGUUUUUUUAUGUCCUAUGUAUUUAAUCUUAUUUUAUCUUAUUUAUUUAUUAUUUGUAAAUGCAGUUGUUUUCCUAAUGUUCUGUAUAUUCCAGGCUAUCUUGAUCGGAGUCAGUCUGUAAGUAAAGACACAGGCUUGUGGAGCACUGUUCCAACCAAUGAUAAAACACCAUCCAACCUUGACGGGACUCAGUCAGAAGGCAAAGAUGACAAAACAGAGCAUCAGACAAUGGAGAUGAUAAAGUUUGGCGUCGCAGCUACAGAUGUGUGGUGUCCUGAGGAAAGUGGCAGCUUGAGCUCCGUGUCCAGUGUUGUUGGAGACUGGAGAGGCUUCUUGGGAGAAAUGCUGAGGUGGCAGGGAUGGGAAACGAGGAGGAUGAUGUCACAAUGGACAGCGUCUGCACUGAGGACUUCUCAACAUGUUUUGGGGAGGAAAUAUUGGUCCUGCCAGCCUCAGAGGCUGGAUGAGGUGAAUCAGGAACUGGGGCAGAGCGAGGAGGACUGAAGGGCUCUCCGACAGAAAUGCACUGAGCUGAAGGAGCAGCUGGCUGAUACGAUCAGAGAAAAAGAACAAAUAAAGGAGGUUCUCACUUUUGUUUCUUCUUUUAA